rnacentral:lncRNA from 10 species
UUCUGCACAGCUUUUCCGGAACACUUGGUUGCCUGAGGAAUUACAUCCCGAGUAAUUGACUGGGACAAUUAGGCAGACUCUGAAAGUCAAGCUUGGAAGGCACAUGCUGAAGUGCACCCACAAAUGGGAUCCAACGUGAAGGAACAGCUCCUCUCACGAACACUGUUGGUCUCCUGGAUGGAGAAGGAAUGUGGUGAACCCUGAGCUGACUCUCAGGGCCUUUGUUCAGAACAUUUUACUUCUGCUCAUAUGUCAUAGGACAAAGCAAAUUACAUGGCUGAGCUGGAUGCAAAUGGGGAGGGGAAGAGGACUCUUCCCACAGGGAGGGGCAUAAGUCACACAGCCAAGGCUGAUGUCAACAGGGCAGGGAUGUAUAAUCCUCCCACAGGGAGGAGUAGCUAAUAUUUUUAACAAUAUUAUAAUCCACCACAGUGACCUCGAGCAUGUCACUUGACCUCUUUGUGCCUUGGUUUUCUCAUUGUUAAAAUGGAAAUAAUAAUAGAACUUACCUCAUAGGGUUGAUAUGAGGAUUCAAACGACUUAAUUCUAGUAGAGCAUUUAAAAUCCUGCCUAGUACAUAAUAAAUGCUAGAUAAGUGGUUGUUAAAUAAAAAUAAAUAAAAUGUUUGUCCAUACAAUUGUUUCCUCUUGCUAUGGUGAAAAUCGUGUAUCCCAUGCUUUAUUAUUACAUGCCUAGAAAUGAAGAUACUUUGCCUACAGGCAUUUAAAAACAAGACAUUUCUAUUUUUAAAAGCCUGUGGCUUUAAAAUUAAGGUUUCCAAAGUUGUGUCAUUGCUUAAACUUCUUGAAAGAUGUCCCUAUCAUGGCUUGCAGUCUGAUUAGUUCUUUCUGGAAAAGAGAAGAGAUUCUGUUUGGUAGGAAUAGG